rnacentral:tRNA from 1 species
AAUAAGGUGCCUGAUUAAAGGAUUAUUUUGAUAGAAUAAAUCAAGUAAAUUUAUUUACCCUUAUUA